ACAGAGGUGCCAAGCGUUAGGCGGAAUCACUGGGCUUAAAGCGUGUGUAGGCGGAAUUGUAAGUACCUUGUGAAAUCCCACGGCUCAACCGUGGAACUGCUCGGUAUACUGCUUUUCUUGAGCCACUUAGGGGCUGUCGGAACAAACGGUGGAGCGGUGAAAUGCGUAGAUAUCGGGAGGAACACCGGUGGCGAAGGCGGGUCUCUGGGCAUUUCCUGACGCUGAGGCGCGAAAGCGUGGGGAGCAAACGGGA
rnacentral:rRNA from 1 species